CAAUAGCGUAUAUUUAAGUUGUUGCAGUUAAAAGCUCGUAGUUGGAUUUCGGAUGUGAACGACCGGUCCGCCGUUGCGGUGUGCACUGGACGUUCGUAUCUUGUUGUCGGGGACGCGCUCCUGGCCUUAACUGGUCGGGACGCGGAGUCGGCGCUGUUACUUUGAAAAAUUAGAGUGUUCAAAGCAGGCAACCGCUCUGAAUACAUUAGCAUGGAAUAACACUAUAGGACUCCUGUCCUAUUUCGUUGGUCUCGGGACGGGAGUAAUGAUUAAGAGGAACAGUUGGGGCAUUCGUAUUCAUUGUCAGAGGUGAAAUUCUUGGAUUUAUGAAAGAUCGAAACUUCUGCGAAAGCAUUUGCCAAGGAUGUUUUCUAUUAAUCAAGAACGAAAGUUGGGGGCUCGAAGAUGAUUAGAUACCG
rnacentral:rRNA from 1 species